UUUGUGCGCUCUGUAGUGUUGGAUCCUUUCUUAUUUCUUCUCUUUGAUAGUUUUGUGCAAGAAUAUAGUAUAAACUGUAUAAUAAAUUGUAAUAGUUAUUUAGCCUAUAUAUUUUUUUUAUUGAAUAUCUGUUAGUUGCCACUUUAGGGCGCUUAGCGUCCGUAUACCGUUGAUCGGGGUCACGUGGAACAUAAAGCCUAGUUAUACAUUAUUAUCAUUAACAGCGAUAGUAGUUCAAACAAUCGACCGACUAGAUGAUUAUGAAACUGGUAGUUUUGCUAGAAUGAAGUAAUAUAUGUGUGUAUGUGUAUUCUUUUAUUUUUAGUCACCAUAAACAGCCGUGUUCAUAUUGUCACCCAGGCACUAGUGAGAUGCUCCUGUAAUCCAGCGAACUUGAAUUUUGAUUAGCUGUCAGUGAAGCCAUUAAUAAUAUCUUUGCUCAUGCUGAUUUGAUAAAUUGCUGACAUUUGGUACUUCAUCAGCAGGUAAUUCCAAAGCAGUUGGGAAGACAACGAAUCCUAAAACGAAAGAGCCCAUGACAGAUACUGAGAGCUGCUAAAAUUGCAUCUGUGUACACCGGGAAGCCUCAAACAAAUGCUGUUACCUAGGUCUUCAGCAUGUCACAGAAGGCUACAUCCACAUCAUGCAUUAAGUCCUCAUGGUGGUGUAGUGACUCACCUCAAUCCAGUCGGUGGAGGAUGAAACUCAGUUGCCUCCGCAUCUGAGACAGUCAAUCCACGCAUCUUAUCACAUGGCUUGUUGAGCGUGUUACCGUGAAGACAUGGCGCGUGUGGAAGCUUCACACUACUCUCCAUCCAUGCACAACUCGCCACGUUCCCCACUGAGAGUGAGAACCACACAUUAUAGCAACCACGAGGAGGUUACCCCAUGUGACUCUACCCUCCCUAGCAAUCGGGCCAAUUUGGUUGCUUAAGAGACCUGGCUGGAGUCACUCAGCACCCCCUGGAUUCGAACUCACAACUCCAGGGGUGGAAGUCAGCGUCAAUACUCACUGAGCUUCCCAGGUCCUCUGUUAUACAUAAUCAUAUGUAGAGAGGUAGAACACUUCCUGAAACCCAAAAAGUUUAGAAAGAGGGAGCAGAUGUUCUGUUUUCUGUAUGAUAUGUCUUAGAAAAUGUGCACACGGUUAAAUUUGGGUUUAUGUUUACUGAAACCUAGCAGCGAUGAUGCAGCCUCACUUAAUAACAGAAUUUUUCAGUUACUGAUGUCAUUGUAAAAAUGUGCUAUUCGCAGUCAGCCAUGAUUAAUAUAUUCCGUAAGUGAAUGCAUCCAAUUACAAGGGUUUGUUAGAGUAUUUUUCAGCAUGUCAUAUGAUCUCAAGCCGGCACGCACAAAUGUGUGCCCAGCACCAAAUGCAACUUUUUCUCCAAGACUGAUAUGACUUAAGUCUUUUUUUUUUUUUUUUCUCAUCUGAGUGUGUAUAUAUAUUUAAAAUAAAGUUCUACUAUUUCUUUCUUUUUAAAAGUGUAGCAGUUAGAUAAAUUACUGAAGUGCCCUGUGAAAUUUGUGGCUUAUGGGUCGAGACAUAAAGAAGAUAGUUACGAUGGAGCACAGAAGAAAUGCGCAAAAUUUGAAUUUGUCAUUUAUUUGUUUGUUUUAUGGAAGAACACUUUCUGUGUUGAAAUUGUGAAUUAGACGGGUGUGACAAAAUUUAAUUACUUGUUGUCUCCAGGAAAGGAUGGUGAUUGUCCAUGAAAAUAUUUUGUUUUACAGAAACGCAACUAAAUAUGGACAUUUUCAGUAAGCAGACUGAAUCAAACUUAAGGGAGCAUCAGGGUAUGUCCUGUUCAAAUAACGUGUUGUGCUCUGUUAAGAUUUAUUUUCUCAUUACAGUUAAACUAUUAGGAAGUCAAUGUUUAAAAUUAUUAAACUUUAUUCGA